GAGAGAGCUUAGUCAGUAACUAGAGUUUUUAUCAUUUCACACGAGAGAUCUUAGUCAGUAACUAGAGUUUUUGUCAUUUCACUCGCAGGUAUUACAUUUCUGCAACAUAAAAUGACUGUUCCAAUGAAAAAAUUUUCAUAUCUAAAAGUCCAUCUUAAACAACCAUGUUAUCCUUCAUCAGGUUACACACCAGAUUGCAAAUAGAUAUUAUUUGGGGUGAACAGAAAUCUAACUUUGAAAUAAGAAUAACA
rnacentral:misc_RNA from 1 species